GAUCAGCCGGUACUCCGAAUGCUCUAGAUAGAGUUGAUCAUGGCUCAGGCACGAACGCUGGCGGCGAUGCCUAAUACAUGCAAGUCGAGCGAACAGAGAAGGAGCUUGCUCCUUUGACGUUAGCGGCGGACGGGUGAGUAACACGUGGGCAACCUACCUUAUAGUUUGGGAUAACUCCGGGAAACCGGGGCUAAUACCGAAUAAUCUAUUUCACUUCAUGGUGAAAUACUGAAAGACGGUUUCGGCUGUCGCUAUAAGAUGGGCCCGCGGCGCAUUAGCUAGUUGGUGAGGUAACGGCUCACCAAGGCGACGAUGCGUAGCCGACCUGAGAGGGUGAUCGGCCACACUGGGACUGAGACACGGCCCAGACUCUUACGGGAGGCAGCAGUAGGGAAUCUUCCACAAUGGGGGGCGGAAAAAGGCCCUGGAUGGAGCAACGCCGCGUGAGUGAAGAAGUUUUCGGAUCUUCUGUUGUGGAAACUUUAUGGUGUCUUGG
rnacentral:rRNA from 1 species